AAUUGCGUUUUAUAUUAC
rnacentral:snRNA from 1 species